CCCUUAGAUGUCCUGGGCCGCACGCGCGCUACACUGAGUGUCUGAGAUACGAGUCUGCCUGGUCCGGCAAGGUCUAGGUAAUCGCUAAAAGACACAUCAUGCUUGGGAUAGAUUAUUGCAAAUAUUAAUCUUGAACGAGGAAUUCCUAGUAAGCGCAAGUCAACAGCUUGCGUUGAUUACGUCCCUGCCCUUUGUACACACCGCCCGUCGCUACUACUGAUUGGAUGUUUAAGCGAGGUUCUCGAACUGCUAGCGACUUAGCUUCGGUGAGGUUGCAGUGUGGGAAGUGAACCUAGCUUUGGUGUCUAGAGGAAGUAAAAGUCGUAACA
rnacentral:rRNA from 1 species